ensembl:lncRNA
GGUUAGCUAGAUGUGCAGUGUCUGAAUUUCUCUCACAGAAAUUGUUCCCUCCUUAGCUACAGAUUUAGUGUGCCUGUGAAAGUAGGUGAGUUUAGGAGCCUCCUAUGUUGCCGUCUUGAAUGGGAGCCCUUCCUGUAUUUCUGAUUCUAUCCCUGUAAAUGGUUAAUAGGACAAGAUCUUGAUUAUUGAGAUAAAAGGUUGCAGUGCCUAAUCAGGUAGUUCGAAAAGUCUGUUAAAACUUUCCCUCUGUUUGGGAAAAGCAUCUUAGGAACUUGUUUGGAAAAUUUCAAAAUUCAUGAACCAUUCUAUCUACUGAUCCUGGACUUAAGCUGCAACAGCCCCCAGCUAACCUAGCUCCUUUCAGACUGGCCCCCACAAUCUUGAAUUGGUUCUUUCCAAUCCUGUUACUGUUGGUCCUGAAGUCAGUGGUUUUUGUAAACAGACAAGACUGCUUGGUGUGUCUUGUCUGAGGUCACAUGGAGAUUAUGUCAGCAACCAAGGACUUCUGUGGAGUCCUGCGCUUUUAGCCUUGCAGUGCUUGUCCCCGUACUUGUGUACAGAGGUACGGUUGUACCAUUCCUUAAAUUUUCUUAGCACGUUAUGCUGUGUCACAUUACACCCUUAAAGCUCUAGAAUUUAGCACUGUUAGUGAAAUUUGUGUUAAUCAAAUAGUAUUAUACCCAAAAAAACCUUUUCUUACAGUUAUUAUGCAAAUAACAUUAUUAACUAGAUGGCCAUUUUUUUUAGUAGGAAAAUAAUGCUGCCUUUCAAAUGGUGAGAUGGAGUGACAGGAUUCAUGUGUUGUAGAAAUGUUUCGUGAAAUAAUAGUUUUGGUGUGAUGUGUUGGCAUGCGCAGGACCGUAAGCAAUCACCUUUUUAAAGUAUUUUCAAAAUGUUGUUUCAAGGGUAAAAGUGGAGAGGUGAUUUAAAUAAUGUGACUAGAUAGGAUAUAAGGAAAUAGUUUCACAUACAUUUCUUGAAAACAGAUGUUAGUAUUAUUUAUAUACUGAUUUUUUAAUAAGUCCAUAUGUCUAUUAUAUUUCCAGAUUUUGUUAUAUGCUGGUAAUAUUCUUAGGAUAUGUAUUAUUUACUAAGGAUUACUGUUAGUAGGGGCAGAUGAUGGCUCAGGAAUAAUCCUUAAGAAGGGCCCAGGUUUAACUAUUCUUAUUUAAAUGAUUCAAUUAGGACAUACUUGGUAGGAUAGAGUUUUAUUUUAGAAGCAAGGUGAGAUUUUUCAUCUUUAAUUCUACUCUUGAAAUAGUCUGCCAGAUUGAUGGAGCCUCAUUUAGUGCUCAUCAGAAAUCGUGAACACUGCAGUGUGGUUUGAUUAUAGUGCUAAAUAUCAAGCAACACAGACAAGAAUACCAUUUAGCCAGGUGUGGUUUAUGCAUACUGUGAAUAAAAAAAUAUUCAAAAUUUAAGGGAAUUUGUUUUUCACAGAAAGCAUAUUAUGUGGGUCUUAGCAAAAAAAUAAAUAAUAUAUAAUUUUAAAUUAUUUUGGUAAAAUGUUUAAUUAAAAUGACAUUAGUAAUAGCUCUCUUAGAAAUGAGGAAAUAUUAGAUAGUGGAACUUUUGUUUUCCUAUUUCAAAUGCACAGAGCUAUAUUAGGAGUGUUAGAGAAAAUCUUGGUUAAAUAAAAUAAGCCAUUUCAUUUGAGGUGAGACUUCUGAGAUCAUUCACCAUGCUAAUAAACCUGUGUCCAAGGAUUACCAAGAAAGAAAUCUGCAUUUGAUCAGAGAACGUUUAAAUUUGAAAUAUCAGGAGUUUCCUUUAUAGCUCAGCAGAAACGAGUCUGAGUAGCAUCCAAGAGGUUGCAGGUUUGAUCCCUGGCCUUGCUCAAUGGGUUAAAGAUCCAGAUCCAGCGUUGUCGUGAGCUGUGGUGUAGGUCGUAGACAAAACUUGGAUCCCAAGUUGCUGUUGCUGUGGUGUAGGUUGUUGGCUGCAGCUCCAAGUGGACCCCUUGCCUGGGAACCUCCAUAUGCUGAGGGUGUGACCCUAAAAAGGCAAAAAAAAUUUGAAAUAUCUCUCCCAUUAUUAUUUGGAGGUUGAGAAUACCUAGGAGUUACUAAUCCAUGGAUUACUGCUUUCAUUUUAAAAUUCUCAUGUUUUUACUACUUUGCUAUAUUUAAAGUAAAUAAGUGAGAUUCAGUGCAGUCCUAUCACCUUACCAUGGCAUUUUUCACAGAACUAGAACAAACAAUCCAAAACUUUAUAUGGAACCAUAAUAGACCCAGAAUUUCCAAAGCACUCAUGAGGGGGAAAAAAAAAGCAGGAGGCAUAAUUCUCCCAGACUUCACACAGUAUUACAAAGCUUUUAUAAUGAAGACAGUGUGAUACUGGUACCAAAACAGACACACAGACCAAUGGAACAGAAUAGCAAACUGAGAAAUAAACCCAGAUGCCUGUGGUCAAUUAAUCUUCGAUAAAGAAGUCAAGAAUAUAAAAUGGGAAAAAGUCUUUUCAGAAAGUGGUGCUGGGAAAACUGGACAACCGCAUGUAAAUCAGUGAUACUAGGACACACUCUCACACCAUGCACAAAAAUAAACUCAACAUGGCCUAAAGACUUAAAUGUAAGAUAAGACAACAUGAAACUCCUAGAAGAAAACAUAGGCAAAACCUUCUCUGACAUCAGUCAUACAAAUGUUUUCUUAGGUCAGUCUCCCAAGACAACAGAGAUAAAACCAAAAAUAAACCAGUGGGACCUAAUCAAACUUGCAAGCUUUUGUGCAGCAAAGGAAACCAUAAAAAACCAAAAAGACAACCUAUGGAAUGGGAAAAAAUAGUUUCAAAUGAUGCAGCUGACAAGGGCUUAAUCUCUAAAAUAUGUAAACAACUUAUACAACUCAACAGCAAAAAAAAAAAAAAAAAAA